UACCCUUCACUUUCUCCUUCUCCUUAUUUUCUAUUUAGAGAAUAGAUCAGUUAAUUCAUGAAUUGGACCCUAAAAGAACUGGUGUAAUAACAUUUGAGAGCUUUAGCAAAGGAAUAGAGGCAUACUUAAUAGGUAGAAGAGACUCUGUUACAUCAAGUAGGUCUGACUCAUUUUCCCGUACAAGCUUUGACGAAAACUUCCCUGGUACCACUAGUCCUAUUGAGGAUAGUACAUUCACUGUAGGUGAUGUUAAUAGUCCUACCAUUGACUCACCUCAGCUCUCCUACUACUCACUAGGAUUCACCAGUUCUUCAAGGUAUCUAAUG